UACGGAGGGGGCUAGCGUUGUUCGGAAUUACUGGGCGUAAAGCGCACGUAGGCGGCUUUGUAAGUUAGAGGUGAAAGCCCAGGGCUUAACCCUGGAAUUGCCUUUAAGACUGCAUCGCUAGAAUCGUGGAGAGGUAAGUGGAAUUCCGAGUGUAGAGGUGAAAUUCGUAGAUAUUCGGAAGAACACCAGUGGCGAAGGCGGCUCACUGGACCGUUGUUGACGCUGAGGUGCGAAAGCGUGGGGAGCAAACAGG
rnacentral:rRNA from 1 species